CAGAGUGGGGAGAAAAGGUGUGUGAGGUCCCCACGGCGCACGGGGGCUCUCCCGCCUCCGUGCUCCCUCCCUGGCUCACCACGAUGCCCUGCAAAGCAGAGCUGCCAGGCACACGGGGGUCACGCAGCCCCGGGGUCCCCUCCCCAAGCCAGCACCCGCUGAGUGACUUUCCCUGGUUCGUGCCACCGCGACGAGGGGCUGAAGCUGCGGCAGGCGGAGGUUCAGCCUGGGAAGCCCAAGGGCGAGCUCCCGCCCUCGCGCCGGGGCCGGAUCCUGCUUCCUGCAGCCGCCGCUGCGCAGGGGUCAGGCACGGACCUGACCUCCGGGGAAAACCACCUAUUUCCCAUCACCGGUGCACGCGUCCGGAUUUAAAUGCCUGAAGCUGCGUGAUUCCCCAGGACUCGCACGCGAGCGAUGCGCUUCCCCCGUGCGGGGGGGUCGCCUGCGCCUGCCUGUCCCCUCGGCGGCUUGCCGAGGUGGGCAUCUGCCGGGCCCCGGGGUGAGCGGUGGCACACUAGUGUUUUCCAGCCGUCCCUCGGGAUGGGGCACCACUGGGAUUCUGGAAAGCAGACAAGCUGGAGUUACAUUCGGCCCUCGGAGUUCGACCCUUUGGCGUUACCUUUCGCCCUUCCUGUUUUCCUUUGGUAUUGCUUGUUUCUUUUUUUUUUUUCUUUUUUUUUUAUGGCCACCCUGCAGCUCCCCAGGAGCACCAGACACCUCGGCCUGAUGACGGGCGAGACCCGAGUUUGCUCUGUCAGAGCAGGAGCUUGGAGAUAACAAAGCUGCUUUGGGACAUCUCUGCUCGCUGCCGCUUCCAAAACUCUCGCGAAGCCGAGGAUGGAGCUGCGUGGCUUUGUGUUGCCGUUCAGCUUCCUCUUGCAUUAAGGGCUCCCUCCCUCUGUGUUUACCUGCUGAAGCCAGACCCGGCGCCUCGGUUGCCCCCCAGGAGGACAAAUCCAGGCACGACUGCGUUUCUGCUGCGGCGUGAGCCAAGUCCCCAUCCUGCACUUUGAAACGCUCGCGGCUGUUUGUGGCUGAGCCCUAACGCCAGGAGCUGCGUAAGAGGAAUGGGCCCACGGCAGAUCCGCUGGCACCAGAACUGCUGGGGGUCCCGUCCAGGGGGUUCGUGUUGUCCCACUUGUGGUUUUCCCUGUGCCUUUGCCUUGCCACCCAUCGUCCGUGCUUUCCUCCUUGCCUGGGGAAGAGGAGGGCAGUCCCCUGCCCCGGGGCUGGUAUCCUUGCCUGACCCACAUCCCAUCUCUGUCUGCAGGUUGGUUUUGUCUUGUCCAUCUAACAUUUAUUACCUUUUUUCCUUCAGAAAAAAGUAUUUCUCUGGGCCUUGCGGGAACUCGCCUCCAUGGGCUGGGCUGGCUGUGGUGUCCCGACACUGCCGGACCCCCGCCAGCCCGGCCUCGCUGGACACCCCCGGCCAGCCCGUGACUAAUGAUUUUGCCAUUUCAUGGGUGGGAAAGAGACAUUGAUUAACUCCUGCACUUGCCUUUCUGGAAAGGUUAUAGCUUAAUUGGUCAGACGCAGAGUCAUAAAUCAUGCGCUGAAGGAUCAGCAGAGAUAAGAAAAUUUUUGCAGAAUCUUGCAAAAACACUUUUUGGUAGGAGGAAUCCAGCUGUGCCCACCCAGCUGUGGGAGCUGAGGGCAGCUGAGAGUGCAGGGCUCCUCCGAGGAAACAAUUCGCCCUCCAGCGAGGGGCCGGAAAUUCUCCCUUCUGUUAUCAGUUAAUCUCAGCACUUGCAAAAUAUCCUUUUUUUUUUCUUUUGGAAAAAGAAAAGCAACAGGAAAGCCAUUGUUUGCUUUAUUCAGAAGAAUCUGAAUUCCAUCUGUUUUAGAAGAUGAUUCUGUUUCUCCAUGGGAAGUGCUAUUCCCCUAACCUAAAAACUAAAAUUUAAAAAGUCCCAACUUUUUCCUAGCCAAGGAUGGCAGUGAAGGAGGGAGAAAAAGGCUCUUCCCACCAGGGCAGAGGAAAGCGGACUGAUGGCAGCACCUUCCCGUCCUGGGGACUCUGGCUGGUUCAGGCAUCCCACCGCCUCGGGCGGUCCCGCACAGCGUGGGCUUGGGUGAAGGCAAACACUGGCCAGCACUGGCCCAGCUUGGGGGUCCCUGCCAGCCUGGGGAUCCCCCUGGCCCCGGCCCCAGGGAUCGCCAACGCUGCUGGCCAAGCGCUCGGAGCAGGCAAGGAAUGGCAUUGCAGAUACAGAACAUUUAUUAUUCAUGUCAGUAAUUAUUUCUUUCGUGAUUCUCCCCAGCAUUUUACUGAGGAAUUAGGAUGUUAAUAUGAGGAAUCUCAAAGCCACGCUGCAGACAUCGCUAUUACUGCUGCCGCACUGCUGCUGCUGUUGCUGCACUGCUGCUGCUCAAAAAUGGCAAUUCAGAAAAUGCCCCCAACUUGCUGGGUUUGCCCUGGCUCGCUGCUGUCAGACGCCCAUCCUGAUGUGCAGCAGAAGAGGGGCUCGGUAUGGCCCCCAGCAUCCAUCCUGGUGGUGCCUCCUGCUCUGUCUUGACUGGUGUCUCUUUCCCAGCCACCAGGCGUUUGCUUUGCCUGUGUUUAUUUCUUAAACCCCACAUCCAGGUCUUCUUGGAUUUACCUCCAGCUCCUCGCAGCCUUUGGGGCAGCCUGUCCCUUCCCAGACUGUCCCGGAGCUGAGACCCGGCUGUCGUGGUCAGGGCACGGUCUGAGUCCACAGGGCCUGACGGCCAGCAGGGAUGGGGGUGAGGGGGGUGCUCCCCUGCACAGCCUGGGCCCAGGUGCCAAAAUCUCUCCAGGCAAGGUUAGGGGAUGCUGAGAUGCAGAAACUGGCUUUGCUCCGUGUGUGGUGAUGAUAAAGAACAGCAGCAUGGAUUUGAGUGCCUUUUCAAAGGGGUUCCCAGGAAACUGGCUAUUUAAACAGAAGUAAAAUAAAUUAAAAAUGCUGAGCACCUCUUUCAUUUCAAUGCGGAAGCUAAAAUAGACAUUGCUUGCCUCAGUUGAGUGAAGAGGCAACUUCCCGAUAUAGGGCCGUGAAGCCCAAGGCUCGGUCUCUGCCACUCCUGCCCUUCACAGAUUUGGGUCAUUUCAGCCUCUGACCUCGUAUCACCACUGGGGAUGGUGCAGGGGAACAGCAAAGCAUAAAACAUCUUCUGGGGCACUGGAGGUGUUAUUCUUAGAAACAAGCAAAGCACCUUAAAAUCAAUACAAAGUUUUACUUGUGGCUGCUAGAGAGAUUUCAUCUCUUGAAUUAUAUGAUGCGAUAGACGAGAUCCCAAUCCGGCUGCCACCCUAUGUACCAGCAGCUAUCUGUCCACAGCCAGGCUGAACGGCUCCCAGAAUUAAUUAGAAUAAUCAAUCCCAAAAAUGACAAAAGUAUUGAUUAGCAUUUUUGUCUCUUCACAGCCUGGCAGUGCUGUGACUCCGCGAGCAUUGCAGAGCGAUAAAAAGCAGCCUCAGCUGUGGAUGGAAGAUGCUUAUCCAGCGACAUCGCGUGACAGUGUAGCAGCGAGGGGUUUAUACGCAACGGUGGCAUCACCCAAACGCUUCCAUGCAAUAUUAUUUCAGUAAUAAUAUUCUCAUACCUCUUCCUCGCUCUUGUUCAAUUUACACAGUGGUUCAUUUUUAAAACCUGUCUUAUUUACUACUUUCCUGGACACGGUAAGAAAGCAGGAGCGGCGGAGAGGGGACCCUCCGCACCGGCUGAUGCCGGGUGGGCUGAUGCCGGCAGCUCCCCGGGUUUUGGGCAGCUUAGCCCCAGCAGACCCCGGCUGGUCCCAGGAGCUGCCUUGCCGUCGCACGGGUCCCCGCAGAGGCGUCCCUGCCCGGGAGCCGGCGUGCCUGCGGCGGCGAUGGUGUGCGCAGCGCUCAUCACCAGCGCGCAGUCUGCCUUUCCCAAGGGAGAUGAGUAACGUGGACGGCGUGUCCAGCCCGUCAAGGCACCGGCACAAGCCCAGGGUGGGACGCGUGUGCUGUGCUGGUCGCAGGAGGCUGAGCUCAGCCGCACGUGGCUGAUAACAAGGACUUCUGAAGCCACGGGUUUCUGUCAAAUGACAGGCAAAAAUCGGUAUCCAAAGA